rnacentral:rRNA from 1 species
GGAUUAGAUACCCUAGUAUGAUGAAUUUUUAAGAUUAUUAUGUUAGAGAAAUUUAAAAUUUUUGGCGGUUAGUUAUUAUUUGGAGGAGCUUGUUAUAUAGAAUUUACUCUUUAUAUUUUACAAAUUUGUGUUUAUUUAUCUCCGUUAUUAGAAUUUAUUUUAUAAGAAUUUUUCUUGUAUUUCAGGUCAAGAUGUAGCAUGAAUUAGAUUUAAUUAGCUACAUUUAUAAAAUAAUGAAUUUAAUAAAAUUUUAUAAUAUUAAUAUUUAAUGAAAUUGAAUUUAGUUGUAAUAUUAUUUAUAGGGAUAAUAUGAAUAUUAUUAAUUAAUGUACAUAUUGCCCGUCAUCUCUUUUGAUGAAAAAGAAUAAGUCGUAACAA